rnacentral:rRNA from 1 species
AAGCUCGUAGUUGAAUUUCGGAUCUGGCUGGGCGGUCUGCCUAACGGCAUGUACUGUCUGGCUGGGUCUUACCUCUUGGUGAGCCGGUGUGCCCUUUAUUGGCGUGCAUCGGGGAACCAGGACUUUUACCUUGAGAAAACUUAGAGUGUUCAAAGCAGGCCUAUGCCCGAAUACAUUAGCAUGGAAUAAUAAAAUAGGACGUGCGGUUCUAUUUUGUUGGUUUCUAGAGUCGCCGUAAUGAUUAAUAGGGAUAGUUGGG